GGGGGGAAACCCUGAUGCAGCCAUGCCGCGUGUGUGAAGAAGAAGGCCUUCGGGUUGUAAAGCACUUUCAGUUGUGAGGAAAGUUUGAUGGUUAAUACCCAUUAGAUGUGACGUUAACAACAGAAGAAGGACCGGCUAACUCCGUGCCAGCAGCCGCGGUAAUACGGAGGGUCCGAGCGUUAAUCGGAAUUACUGGGCGUAAAGCGCACGCAGGCGGUUUGUUAAGCUAGAUGUGAAAGCCCCGGGCUCAACCUGGGAAUAGCAUUUAGAACUGGCAGACUAGAGUCUUGGAGAG
rnacentral:rRNA from 1 species